AAAUUUGAAGUAAAAAAAAUUUACAUAUUAGUUUCGACCUAAUUUUAUGGUUUAUUAACCCAAAUUUU
rnacentral:tRNA from 1 species